AUUGAACGCUGGCGGCAGGCUUAACACAUGCAAGUCGAGCGGGGUGAUGGUGCUUGCACUAUCACUUAGCGGCGGACGGGUGAGUAAUGCUUAGGAAUCUGCCUAUUAGUGGGGGACAACAUCUCGAAAGGGAUGCUAAUACCGCAUACGUCCUACGGGAGAAAGCAGGGGAUCACUUGUGACCUUGCGCUAAUAGAUGAGCCUAAGUCGGGUUAGCUAGUUGGUGGGGUAAAGGCCUACCAAGGCGACGAUCUGUAGCGGGUCUGAGAGGAUGAUCUGCCACACUGGGACUGAGACACGGCCCAGACUCCUACGGGAGGCAGCAGUGGGGAAUAUUGGACAAUGGGGGGAACCCUGAUCCAGCCAUGCCGCGUGUGUGAAGAAGGCCUUAUGGUUGUAAAGCACUUUAAGCGAGGAGGAGGCUCUUUUGGUUAAUACCCAAGAUGAGUGGACGUUACUCGCAGAAUAAGCACCGGCUAACUCUGUGCCAGCCGCCGCAGUAA
rnacentral:rRNA from 1 species